UCGUGUAAAACCCUGUGACGUGGCGCGAUGUGAACACGCCCUCAGAUCUGCAGUCACGUGGAGCCUUUAAACAGGCGCCAUUUUCUGAGCAGGAUCUAUUCUGCCGCAGCCAGCGUCGAGUUCAGUUCUCUCUCUUUGUCUUCGAGAAAAAAAAGUUUGUUCAACAUGUCUGACGAGGGAAAGCUGUUCAUUGGUGGUCUGAGCUAUGAUACCACAGAGCAUUCCUUGGAAGAGGCAUUCUCCAAAUAUGGAUCAAUUGCCAAAGUUGAUGUCAUCCGGGACCGUGAGACCGACCGUUCCAGAGGCUUUGGUUUUGUCACAUUUGAAAAUCCGGAGGAUGCAAAGGAUGCCAUGGCUGCAAUGAAUGGAAAGUCUGUUGAUGGCCGCAUGAUUCGCGUUGAUGAAGCUGGCAAAUCUGGUAGACGGUCCGGUGGCUUCAGAGGAGGUCCUGGAGGUGGCGGCAGGGGAGGCUUCAGGGGUGGCCGAGGUGGUGGAGGAUAUGGUGGCGACAGGGGCUAUGGUGGAGGUGACCGAUCCUACAGUGGUGGCGAUAGAGGCUAUGGCGGAGGAGAGAGAAGCUACGGUGGUGGUGACCGUUCCUACAGCAGCGGUGGUGGUGGUGGAUACUCCAGGAGUGGUGGAUACUCUGGGGGUAGCGGCGGUGGAUACAGGGAUAAUAGGUUUUAGGAGUCAGGGGGGAUAUGACCGUUCCGGCGGAUCCUACAGAGACAGCUACGACAGUUAUGCUUCACACGAGUAAAAAAAAAAAAUCCUGAUUGCAAGAUCAUCGCUUCGCUGGCUGUAUUUAAAAAGAUGCGCUCUUGGAAGACUUUUUGUUUUUUCUCUACAUUUUGUGUUCUGAUUCAAAUGUUCUAUUAAAGACUCCUUUUUUACUGUGUCAAGUAUCCACAGGAUGUUCCUCUCAUUGAGGAGCUGCCUAAUAUCCAUGAGCAUUCACUUACUGUAAGAGUUUCAAGUUCUGUGAGGCUACCUGUAUCUGCCAUUUUAUCUUGCGAUUGUGUUAUAGAUGCUCACAGAGGUUUGAAACUGUCCUGAUUUUUUUUUUUUUUUAAGUAUGUGUUUAAGAAACUGUCUCUGAAACCAUGCGUGAAAAUUGACCUGUUCAACACAGCCUGAUAGCUUCUACAACCAAUUUCCUCAAAGAUCUUUGGACCAAUUUCUUAAUAUCGACUCAAUGAAAGUGCUUAGGGGGGUAUUUGCAUUUAAACCAUUUUAAAACGGCAGUUUCGCCACAAGAAAAUAUUCUAAUCUGAUCCUCCAAUAGAAGCUUGAUAAGCUGUGAUGUUCUUUAUGGCUCUUUGCCAUCUCCAUUUUGUGAUGCAUUCCUUUAGUGAAGCAAGGCAGGCAUGUUGCGUUGGAGUUGACUCUGGCAAACCUCCUUGAUGUUGCUAAAGAUCUGUAAAUAUUCAUUAUCCAAAGAGUAAACCGCUUAAGUGGGUCAUUCCACCUCACUUUAGGACUGAAUCCCUGAGGUACUUUACUCUUUGAGCAGUCUAAAUUUAUUUUUUAAAGUAUGCUCUACUGUGGACUGAACUUAUCCUCUUAAAUGUCAAGAAUUUGUUCCUUGGAAAGAAAUGUGCUCUGUUCUGUAUAUCAACACCUCCAGAAUCCCUUUUUUCUUUUUGUAUGAAUCUGGCUUCAUGAAGCCCAUUAAAAAAUGGUUGGAAAAUG